CGUUAAACACGCCAGCGCCUAUGGUACUGUGUCUCAAGACACGGGAGAGUCGGUCGCCGCCAGAC
rnacentral:rRNA from 1 species